rnacentral:rRNA from 1 species
AGCUCUGUAAGCGUAUACCAAAGUUGUUGCAGUUAAAACGCUCGUAGUCGGAUUUUGGCGUGGUGCUUCUGAGAUGCCCGAAUGGGUGUCGAAGGUUUUAGUCCCGCCUUUGUGGAGGGGGGUGUGGUGGUUCUUUAUUGAAUUGCUGCGCUUCCGCCACUGUUUACUGUGAAAAAAUUAGAGUGUUCAAAGCGAGCGAUUGCCAUGAAUACAUUAGCAUGGAAUAAUAGAAUAGGACCUGGUCCUGUUUUAUUGGUUUGUCGGUAUCAGGUAAUGAUUAAGAGGGACGGUCGGGGGCAUUUGUAUUCCAGGGUUAGAGGUGAAAUUCUUAGAUCCUUGGAAGACAAACAGCUGCGAAAGCGUCUGCAAAGGACGUUUUCA